AGCUCCAAUAGCGUAUAUUAAAGUUGUUGCGGUUAAAAAGCUCGUAGUUGGAUUUCUGUCGGUGAAUAUCAGUCCGCCCACAGCGGUAGGUACGUGAUAUUUCACCGGCAUCUUCCUGGGGAAUGUGUCUGCUCUUUAUUGAGUGGUACAUAAGCCAGGACUUUUACUUUGAAGAAAUGAGAGUGUUUCAAGCAGGCAUGCGCCGUGAAUACGUUAGCAUGGGAUAAUAGCAUCGGACCUCGUUCCAAAGCUGUUGGUUUCUUGGACCGAGGUAAAGGUGAAUAGGGAUUGUUGGGGGCAUUCGUAUUUGACUGUCAGAGGUGAAAUUCUUGGAUUUGUUGAAGACGGACUACUGCGAAAGCGUCGAACAAGGACGUUCUCAUUAAUCAAGAACGAAAGU
rnacentral:rRNA from 1 species